rnacentral:rRNA from 1 species
UAACGCGUGGAUAACCUGCCGUAUACCGGGGGAUAACACUUAGAAAUAGGUGCUAAUACCGCAUAAGCGCACGGCUCCGCAUGGGGCAGUGUGAAAAACUCCGGUGGUAUACGAUGGAUCCGCGUCUGAUUAGCUAGUUGGCGGGGUAACGGCCCACCAAGGCAGCGAUCAGUAGCCGGCCUGAGAGGGUGGACGGCCACAUUGGGACUGAGACACGGCCCAAACUCCUACGGGAGGCAGCAGUGGGGAAUAUUGCACAAUGGGGGAAACCCUGAUGCAGCGACGCCGCGUGAGUGAAGAAGUAUCUCGGUACGUAAAGCUCUAUCAGCAGGGAAGAAAAUGACGGUACCUGACUAAGAAGCCCCGGCUAACUACGUGCCAGCAGCCGCGGUAAUACGUAGGGGGCAAGCGUUAUCCGGAUUUACUGGGUGUAAAGGGAGCGUAGACGGCAGCACAAGUCUGGAGUGAAAUCCCGGGGCUUAACCCCGGAACUGCUUUGGAAACUGUGCGGCUGGAGUGCAGGAGAGGUAAGUGGAAUUCCUAGUGUAGCGGUGAAAUGCGUAGAUAUUAGGAGGAACACCAGUGGCGAAGGCGGCUUACUGGACUGUAACUGACGUUGAGGCUCGAAAGCGUGGGGAGCAAACAGGAUUAGAUACCCUGGUAGUCCACGCCGUAAACGAUGAUUACUAGGUGU